GCGCCCGUAGCUCAGCUGGAUAGAGUACCUGGCUACGAACCAGGCGGUCAGAGGUUCGAAUCCUCUCGAGCGCGCCA
rnacentral:tRNA from 1 species